CCCCGGCGCCACAAGUGGUGAUCACAUUUAUUGGGUCUAAAGCAUCCGUAGCCGACUAAGUAAGUUUUCUGUGAAAUUGUUAAGCUUAACUUAACAGUGUGCAAAAAAUACUAUAUUAGUUAGAGACUGGGAGGAGUGAGGGGUAUUCCUUGGGAAGCGGUAAAAUGCGAUAAUCCUUGGAAGACCACCUGUGGCGAAGGCGUCUCACUAGAACAGGUCUGACGGUGAGGGAUGAAAGCUAGGGGAGCGAACCGG
rnacentral:rRNA from 1 species